AGACACGGCCCAGACUCCUACGGGAGGCAGCAGUAGGGAAUCUUCCACAAUGGGCGAAAGCCUGAUGGAGCAACGCCGCGUGAGUGAAGAAGGUUUUCGGAUCGUAAAACUCUGUUGUAAGGGAAGAACAAGUACAGUAGUAACUGGCUGUACUUUGACGGUACCUUAUUAGAAAGCCACGGCUAACUACGUGCCAGCAGCCGCGGUAAUACGUAGGUGGCAAGCGUUGUCCGGAAUUAUUGGGCGUAAAGCGCGCGCAGGUGGUCCUUUAAGUCUGAUGUGAAAGCCCACGGCUCAACCGUGGAGGGUCAUUGGAAACUGGGGGACUUGAGUGCAGAAGAGGAAAGUGGAAUUCCAAGUGUAGCGGCGAAAUGCGUAGAGAUUUGGAGGAACACCAGUGGCGAAGGCGACUUUCUGGUCUGUAACUGACACUGAGGCGCGAAAGCGUGGGGAGCAAACAGGAUUAGAUACCCUGGUAGUCCACGCCGUAAAC
rnacentral:rRNA from 1 species